rnacentral:rRNA from 1 species
AUUGAACGCUGACGGCAGGCCUAACACAUGCAAGUCGAGCGGAGCGGCGGACGGGUGAGUAAUGCCUAGGAAUCUGCCUGGUAGUGGGGGAUAACGUCCGGAAACGGGCGCUAAUACCGCAUACUAUCAGAUGAGCCUAGGUCGGAUUAGCGAGUUGGUGGGGUAAAGGCCUACUAAGGCGACGAUCCGUAACUGGUUUGAGCGGAUGAUCAGUCACCCGGGAACUGAGACACGGUCCAGACUCCUACGGGAGGCAGCAGUGGGGAAUAUUGGACAAGGGGCGAAAGCCUGAUCCAGCCAUGCCGCGUGUGUGAAGAAUGUCUUCGGAUUGUAAAGCACUUUAAGUUGGGAGGCGUUACCAACAGAAUAAGCACCGGCUAACUUCGUGCCAGACGCCGCGGUAAUUC